AUUUUGAGUUAAUUUUUUUAUAUAAACACUAAGAAUGUAUUUCUUGCUGUUCUAUUCUGUAGACCCAUGUCUUAUGCCUUAUGCUACUUUCACCUGGUUUUGAUUACUGUUGUCUCUGCAGGAUCUUUCUUUUUUUGGUACUGGGGAUUGAACUCGGGACCUUGCACUUGCAAGGCCAGCGCUGGAACCACUAAAGCUAAAUCCCCAGCCCACAUUAGGAUUUCUUGAGGACUAGGACGGUGUGGCUAACAGUUUAUGACUGCUACUUAAUAACUCAAGCACAUUUCCUCUUUUUCAACUAAAAAGACACUUAACACAAAAAAAUAAUGUGUGAGCCAAGCCUGGUGGCCAACGCCUGUAAUCUCAGCACUGGGGAGGCUGAGGCAGGAGGAUCCCUGUGAGUUCGAGGCCAGCCUUGGCUACAUAGUGAAUUCAGUGCCAGCCUGAACCACCCAGUAUCAAA
rnacentral:lncRNA from 1 species